rnacentral:rRNA from 1 species
GACGAACGCUGGCGGCGUGCUUAACACAUGCAAGUCGAACGGAAAGGCCCUGCUUUUGUGGGGUGCUCGAGUGGCGAACGGGUGAGUAACACGUGAGUAACCUGCCCUUGACUUUGGGAUAACUUCAGGAAACUGGGGCUAAUACCGGAUAGGAGCUCCUGCUGCAUGGUGGGGGUUGGAAAGUUUCGGCGGUUGGGGAUGGACUCGCGGCUUAUCAGCUUGUUGGUGGGGUAGUGGCUUACCAAGGCUUUGACGGGUAGCCGGCCUGAGAGGGUGACCGGCCACAUUGGGACUGAGAUACGGCCCAGACUCCUACGGGAGGCAGCAGUGGGGAAUAUUGCACAAUGGGCGGAAGCCUGAUGCAGCAACGCCGCGUGCGGGAUGACGGCCUUCGGGUUGUAAACCGCUUUCGCCUGUGACGAAGCGUGAGUGACGGUAAUGGGUAAAGAAGCACCGGCUAACUACGCGCCAGCAGCCGCGGUGAUACGUAGGGUGCGAGCGUUGUCCGGAUUUAUUGGGCGUAAAGGGCUCGUAGGUGGUUGAUCGCGUCGGAAGUGUAAUCUUGGGGCUUAACCCUGAGCGUGCUUUCGAUACGGGGUUGACUUGAGGAAGGUAGGGGGAGAAUGGAAUUCCUGGUGGAGCGGUGGAAUGCGCAGAAUUCAGGAGGAACACCAGUGGCGAAGGCGGUUCUCUGGGCCUUUCCUGACGCUGAGGAGCGAAAGCGUGGGGAGCGAACAGGCUUAGAUACCCUGAUAGUCCACGCUGUAAACGGUGGGUACUAGGUGUGGGGUCCAUUCCACGGGUUCCGUGCCGUAGCUAACGCUUUAAGUACCCCGCCUGGGGAGUACGGCCGCAAGGCUAAAACUCAAAGGAAUUGACGGGGCCCCGCACAAGCGGCGGAGCAUGCGGAUUAAUUCGAUGCAACGCGUAGAACCUUACCUGGGUUUGACAUGGAUCGGGAGUGCUCAGAGAUGGGUGUGCCUCUUUUGGGGUCGGUUCACAGGUGGUGCAUGGCUGUCGUCAGCUCGUGUCGUGAGAUGUUGGGUUAAGUCCCGCAACGAGCGCAACCCUUGUUCACUGUUGCCAGCACGUUAUGGUGGGGACUCAGUGGAGACCGCCGGGGUCAACUCGGAGGAAGGUGGGGAUGACGUCAAGUCAUCAUGCCCCUUAUGUCCAGGGCUUCACGCAUGCUACAAUGGCUGGUACAGAGAGUGGCGAGCCUGUGAGGGUGAGCGAAUCUCGGAAAGCCGGUCUCAGUUCGGAUUGGGGUCUGCAACUCGACCUCAUGAAGUCGGAGUCGCUAGUAAUCGCAGAUCAGCAACGCUGCGGUGAAUACGUUCCCGGGGCU